ACAUAUCUCCAAGGAGUGUCAGAGGACAGUACCAGACUCUUUUCAGUGGUGCUCAGAGACAGAACAAGGAGCAAUGGUCAUAAACUAAAACACAAGAAAUUCUACCUCAACAUGAGGAAGAGCUAUCCAUUGAGCAGAGCACUGGACCAGCUGCCCAGGGAGGGCAUGGAGACUCCCUCUCUGGAAUAAUCCAAACCCUGGACGCAUUCCUGUGUCACCUGCUCAAGGUCCAUAAGCUUGGCACUGGCUGAGCGAGGCUGUGGAACAGGCAGGGUCUCAGCAGAGGUUCGACAGCCACCUCAGCCAAUCCGUGAGUCAGGUAACAAUGGAAGCGUGUGCUGAGAGGGGAUGGGUAUGUGUUCCCACACCUCACAGCAUCCCCUGCCAUCCAUCCUCCCCGGGAUCCUCAAAAAUCCCUGGAGAAACACCCUGUUCCACUAUAACCUGAGAUUAGCUCAGUUGGUCAGGGCAGUGCCACUAACAGAAAGGCUGUGGGUUCAAUCCUUGUAAGGGCCAUUCAUUUGAGGUUUGGACUUGAUGAUGCUCAUGGGUCCCUUUGAACUCAGAAUAUUCUGUGAUCUACAGAAGCCGUUCUGGUGUGCAAGGUCUUCUGGCUGACGUUUGCUGCGUUGCUUUGGUGACAUUCAGCUCAGCUGUAGGAACAUGUGUGGCCCCAUGCCACCAGGCCACGCGCUGUCCAAGCCACCCUGCGCAGCCCGCGGCUCCUAAAGCAUGAGGUAAUGGGGAGCUGGGAGCCAGCAUGAGGCAGGACUGCCAAAACCACAUGGAAACUGAGAGACAAGUGAUAAAGCAAAAGGCCUGUGAGCGUUAAGCUACAGAAAACACAGGAAAGCUGGAGAGCAGCAGCAGUGUUGGAGGUGGCAGGAACAUUGCUGGUUCCAAAAUGAAGCUCUAGCUAAGCCUUGUGCAAUGGAGCUCCUUUCCAGCAGCAAGAUUUAUAUCUGGGUUUUGUUGCAACUGUGAUGGAUCGUUAAUGUUUUAUUUUUAUACAUAUCUUUAAUUUACAAUACCAUAUGUAGGUCAGGUUGUACUUUUGCGGGAGAUUUCCACCUGCUUCUCAUGUUUGCCUUGAUCUGAAAUGAAAUGCUUGCAAGUAGCUAUAAAAUGCACUCCUAAAUUAUCCACAGGACUCUCCCUCUGAGUCCAAGGCUAGUCAUGGUAACAGAUGGACUUCAGUCUGUCAUUAGGUCAUGUCUAAGCUGGAAGGAGCAUAAGUGUUCAGAAGGAACAAUGCAAAAUACAGAAGCCUGUGUCUUCACACUCAGAUAUGAGCCACGCAGUGAGCUGUGUUCUGGUUUGGCUCCCUUGGUCAGGGACAGCAAACAUUUGAAAGGAAGUUAAUCAGCCCCUCUGAAGGGAUUUUUUCCAACAACAAGCCAUCAUCUAAAUGCAAAUGUGAUCUGAAUACCAAUAUGUACUUUCAGAGGAACUUUGGAAGAAAUACAGGUAACUGAAAGGAAAAAACAGGAUUCCUGGCCUGUUUACACCCAAAAGGAAUGAAAAUAUGUAGAGCCAGUAGAGCUGUAGCUGAAAAUGAUGUGUGUUGACAGCAUCAGCAAGCAAAAUAUGAAUUUUGAGAAGUCCCUGUUAAAUGUUGCCUUUUGCAGUGUGCCUGGAGGGAGAUCAAAUGCGACCUACUUUGGGAAGCUGGAUCCUGGAAACCUGGGGCUCCUGUACAGCAGAACCUGCUGGGUGCUCCUUCUGGUCCUUAAAGAGGGGGAAAUCCUGCAGUGCCAUCCCUGUGACAGGAAAAGCUGGCACUUCCAGCUGCUUGUUAUAUUUGUACAUUUUCUCUUUACCAAUCUGGUCACACACAGUGCACGGAGACAUUCUAUGUGUUGUGUCCCAAACCUCUUUUUAUCUUGUGUUCCAGUCUAUUUUUUAAUACAUUGCUCAGUGUUAAAUGA